AAGAAAGAAAAGAAAAACAGCCAAGCAUAUGUGGUCCACCUUCAAUCCCAGCACUCAGAAUGCAGAAUCAUUUGGACCUCUGAGUUUGAGGCCAGCCUGGUAUACAGAGGUACUUUCUGGGCAGCCAGGGCUAUGAAGACAAACUUGUCUUCAAAAAAGGAAAUAGCCAGAUGGUGGUGGAGCACGCCUUUAAUCCUAGCACUUGGGAGGCAAAGACAGGCAGACCUCUUGAGUUCAAGGUCAGCCUGGUCUACACAGUGAGUUCCAGGACAGGCUCCAAAGCUACACAGAGAAACCUUGUAAAAAGAAACAGAAAAUAAAUAAAACAACAAAAUUUAAAAAACAAAAUACAGGCUAGCAAAAUGUCUUAGAAUUGAAUAGCAAUUACUUCACCUAUAUAUUAUGUGAUUUGGUGAUACCUUCUGUAAUGGUGGAGAAGGCAUAAUAGAAUGAGAAGGAAGCUAGCUAAUCCAUUUCAACAACAAAAAAGUAGAUACAAUGAACAGAAAAUGGGUAGAGGCUAUAUACAAAUUUAUCUUAUUCUCAAUGAGGAAUUUCAUCAAGAAAGGCUCCUCCUACAAAAGGUUCCCCAAGCACCACAAGAAAACUGCCAAGGAGAGCCAAGUGUUCAAAUGCAUCAUCCCAUCUGGAAGCUUUUCAUCCAAUCAGCUACAUUCUGAUCCAGAUCACUAUAGUCAUCCCAUGAUGAAAAUGCAUUAAGCCUAACUUUAAUGAUCUCAUAGUCUUUAACAACCCCUACACAGUUCAAAUGUCCAAAGACUCUUCUAAAACUCAAGACAAUCGCUUGAUUGUGAUAUCUUGUAAAAUCAGAAAACAAGUUACAUCUUUCCAACACACAAUGGCACGGAAUACAAAUUUACAUUCCAAAAGAGAGGAAUGUGCUGUGGGAUGUUCUGUCUGGCAAAUGUGUUGCUGAUUGGUCAAUAAAUAAAACACUGAUUGGCCAUUGGCUAAGCAGGAAAUAUAGGUGGGAAAAGGAGGAGAAUAAAACAGGGAAGUGGAAGGCUGAGUGAGAGAGACACUACCAGUCGCCAUGAUGAGGAACAGCAUGUGAAGAUGCCUGUAAGCCACAAGCCAUGUGGCAAGGUAUAGAUUUAUAGAAAUGGAUUAAUUUAAGCUGUAAGAACAGUUAGCAAGAAGCCUGUCAUGGCCAUACAGUUUGUAAGCAAUAUAAGUCUCUGUGUUUACUUGGUCGGGUCUGAGUGGCUGUGGGACUGGCGGGUAACAGAGAUUUGCCCAGACUGUGGGCCAGGCAGGAAAACUCAAGCUACAAAUGACACCCAACGUGGGGCCAGAGUUUCCACCUAAAAACUGAGAAAAAAGAUUCUAAAACAGAGCUAAAAACAGCUUCCUAAUUGUCUCUCUCAAAUGAGCAGCAGCUGCCGGUUUGAGCUACUUGUGGGUUUCUGGUGUGCGUGCUCGACCUGCAGUUUGGCGGGACUGAGGCCUCUGCAAGUGGCACAUUAAGCUGCAUGGUGGAUUUAGACUUUGCUAGUACAAAACAAAAAAAAAGAGGUUUCUGGGCUACACGCUGCUUGGAUAAAAGCAUAGACCCACGAUAGCUCCCAGAGCUGGUGGUAAAGUACCACCGCCAUGUUGGGAAGCUGAGGUGGGCGGAGCCAGCAGCCACAGCUGCUGCAGUUUAAAGCAAUAGAUUCACAAUAAGACAGAUUCAGAUGUAAUAGUUUACAAUGUGUGUAAGAUAUACAUAGGCUUAAAAGAGACAAAAAAGGUGAUAUAUACAGUUAUAGAAACAAAUACAUAGUUUUAAAAAAUAAAGUCUUUAAAGAGACAAUAAAAUUAAUAUAAAAAAAUAAGCCACGUAAAAAUGAAUAUUACACAGAGAAUUUGGAUUGUGUUGUCUUUGGGAUUUUUAACUGCAGAAAAACAUUUGAUUGUAAAAGCUGUUGAGUUAUGCCAAUAUGUAUAUUUUAAAGAUACCUUGACUUCAAAAUUUGGAUAUAAGGAUAUGUUGCUUUGGAAAAGAGUCUCUUUUGUUCCCACAGAAAGCCAGAGGCUAUGGAUUUGUUCCAGAUUAAGAUACAUCAGGUUUGACCAGCCAAGACCCCCUGAAAGGUCUCCGAUGACACCAUGGCCCAGAUGAUUCAACAUCCAGAAUGGUUUCAAGGCAACUGGCUCAGACGGACCAGUACAUCAUGGAUGAUCCCCCUGAAUCAGGCUUCUAAGUUGUGAUCAAUCCUGCCACACAUGGACCAGAUUUUUAGCAGGCUCUAUAUGAAGUUGCCUCCUGGGACUAAGAAUCACUUUGCCUACUCCUUUCAUAAAUUGAAGGCUUAGCUGUAUGGAUUCUUACCCUUAGGGAAUCUUUCUCAGCUUCCAAUACAGAGCAAGAGCCUUCCCUUUAAUGAUACUAAACUCCCUGAAAGUUCCUGCCUCUGUUUCACCACUGGACUGCCAUCUGAAACCAUCUAGUUCUGUUUUUCUCUAUGAAACUGACUUUCCAUUUCUUUCUGCCCCAGUUGUUUCUUUUUCACUGUAGACCUGAAUGAGUCAUCAAUAACAACCAUCCCACAAAAUCAA